UUGUCAGCACACGCUUUUAGAAGGUUUCUUCCACUGUAUGACCGUGUAUUGAUGAAAGGAAUGUGCCUGAAACUGUAACCAAAGGAGACAUGCUUCCAGAAAAAUCUCAAGGAAAAGUAUUGUAAGCAACAGUAGAUGUUGGAUCAGACUCUAAAGUAAAGGGUGGAGAGUUAACCAGUUAACAUGUAAGUUGGAGAUAGAGUUCUCCCAGAAUAUGUAGGCACCAAAGUAGUUCUAGACAACAAGGAUUACUUCUCAUUUAAAGAUGGUGACAUUCUUGCAAACUAUAUAGACUGA
rnacentral:lncRNA from 1 species